UACGUAGGGGGCAAGUGUUGUCCGGAAUCAUUGGGCGUAAAGAGCGUGUAGGCGGUUCGGUAAGUCGGCUGUGAAAGUCCAGGGCUCAACCCUGGGAUGCCGGUCGAUACUGCCGGACUAGAGUUCGGAAGAGGCGAGUGGAAUUCCCGGUGUAGCGGUGAAAUGCGCAGAUAUCGGGAGGAACACCUAUGGCGAAGGCAGCUCGCUGGGACGUUACUGACGCUGGAGACGCGAAAGCGUGGGGAGCAAACAGG
rnacentral:rRNA from 1 species